rnacentral:rRNA from 1 species
UACGAAGGGUGCAAACGUUGCUCGGAAUCAUUGGGCGUAAAGCGCACGUAGGCGGCCUGUUAAGUCGGAUGUGAAAUCCCUCGGCUCAACCGAGGACGUGCAUACGAAACUGGCAGGCUCGAGUAUGGAAGAGGCGAGUGGAAUUCCUGGUGUAGCGGUGAAAUGCGUAGAUAUCGGGAGGAACACCAGUGGCGAAGGCGACUUCCUGGCCUGUUCUUGACGCUGAGGCGCGAAAGCUAGGGGAGCAAACGGG